CGAGGCAAAAUUCUGGCGGCCUCGGUCUCCCCGGCCCAGCAGGGCUGAGGCACCGCGCCGAGGUGCUCCGCAGACGCCUCGUUUUGUGACCGCGUCCCACCCAUUGCCCCCUUCCGUCUCCGUUUCUCCAGCAGUAAAGCAGGCUCGUAGGCACGGCCCGUUUGCUUUUCGUCUUGCCGACUUGCUCGGUGGCACCGGGCAGGUCCUUUCAUCUCUCCGAGCCUCGUCACCCUCUUCUAAACUUGCCUCCCUCUGAGAAACCUGGCAAGAUCCGUGACUGAAAACACAAAGCACAAAUAGCAGCCCGAGGUUCAGUUAGGUGAAGCGGUGUCUUACUCUCCUUCAAGAGGCACGUGGUGCUUUGCGCGGUGGCUGACUGCCUCUGGAAACUCUUGGCUGCCAGAUUAAAGCGAGCUUUUGAAUCCCAGAC